rnacentral:rRNA from 1 species
AUGUUAUCAUCUGGAGUUGUUGUGCCCAGCAUGAGCCCAUAUGCGUCUCCCGUCCUGUUAGUCAAGAAAAAGGAUGGCCAAUGGCGUUUCUGUGUAGAUUAUCGCAGAUUGAACAGCAUCACCAUAAAGAAUAAAUUUCCUUUACCAAUUGUGGAUGAAUUGUUGGAUGAACUUGCUGGCACUAAGUUCUUCUCUAAGCUCGAUCUGCGGGCAGGUUAUCAUCAGAUUCGAAUGAGAGAGGAUGAUGAACCCAAGACGGCCUUCAAAACACAUCAUGGGCAUUUUCAGUUUCGAGUAAUGCCCUUUGGCCUUACCAAUGCACCGGCCACAUUCCAGUGUGUGAUGAAUUCGGUAUUUUCUCAGUACCUUCGCAAAUUUGUGAUUGUCUUCUUAGAUGAUAUCCUCGUGUACAGUGCUUCCUGGGAAGAGCAUCUUCAACACCUUCGGCAAGUCCUGGAGCUUUUGUGA